CCUACGGGGAGGCAGCAGUGGGGGAUAUUGCACAAUGGGGGAAACCCUGAUGCAGCGACGCCGCGUGGGCGAAGAAGUAUUUCGGUAUGUAAAGCCCUAUCAGCAGGGAAGAAGAAAUGACGGUACCGGAGUAAGAAGCACGGGCGAAAUACGUGCCAGCAGCCGCGGUAAGACGAAUGGUGCAAGCGUUAUCCGGAUUUACUGGGUGUAAAGGUAGCGCAGGCGGCACGGCAAGCCUGAGGUGACAGCCCGCGGCCCAACCGCGGGACUGCAGUGGGAACAGCCGGGCUGGAGUGCCGGAGCGGUAGGCGGAAUUCCUAGUGUAGCGGUGAAAUGCGUCGCUAUUAGGAGGAACCCCAGUGGCGACGGCGGCCUACUGGACGGUGACUGACGCUGCGGCUCGAACGCGUGGGGAGCAAACAGGAUUAGAUACCCGGGUAGUC
rnacentral:rRNA from 1 species